rnacentral:rRNA from 1 species
GCACUCCGAUGUCGAGCGGCGGACGGCUGAGUAACGCGUGGGAACAUACCCCAAACUGAGGGAUAACGCACCGAAAGGUGUGCUAAUACCGCAUGUGAUCUUCGGAUUAAAGCUGCUUUAGAUUUCUAAAGUGGCGGUUUGGGAAUGGCCUGCGUAGGAUUAGCUAGUUGGCGGGGUAAAUGCCCACCAAGGCGACGAUCCUUAACUGGUUUGAGAGGAUGAUCAGUCAGACUGGAACUGAGACACGGUCCAGACUCCUACGGGAGGCAGCAGUAGGGAAUCUUUCACAAUGGGCGAAAGCCUGAUGGAGCAACGCCGCGUGCGGGAUGAAGGUCUUCGGAUUGUAAACCGCUUUUAAAACCGAGAAAUAUGAUGGUAAGUUUUGAAUAAGGACCGGCUAACUACGUGCCAGCAGCCGCGGUCAUACGUAGGGUCCAAGCAUUAUCCGGAGUGACUGGGUGUAAAGAGUUGCGUAGGUGGCAAGAUAAGUGAGUAGUGAAAGCUGGUGGCUCAACCAUUCAGACUAUUACUCAAACUAUCUCGCUCGAGAGCAGCAGAGGUUACUGGAAUUACUAGUGUAGGAGUGAAAUCCGUAGAUAUUAGUAGGAACACCAAUGGCGUAGCAGGUAACUGGGCUGUUUCUGACACUAAGGCACGAAAGCGUAAGGGAGCAAACGGGAUUAGAUACCCCGGUAGUCUACGCUGUAAACGAUGGAUACUAGCUGUAUGGGGUAUCGACCCCCUGUGUAGCGAAGCUAACGCGUUAAGUAUCCCACCUGUGUAGUACGGCCGCAAGGCUAAAACAUAAAGGAAUUGACGGGGACCCGCACAAGCGGUGGAGCGUGAUCUUUAAUUCGAUGGUAAACGAUAAACCUUACCAAGGCUUGACAUCUCGGGAAGGCUUCCGAAAGGAAACUGUGCCCUCGGGAACCCGAAGACAGGUGAUGCAUGGCCGUCGUCAGCUCGUGUCGUGAGAUGUUUGGUUAAGUCCAUCAACGAGCGCAACCCUUGUCUUCAGUUGGAUUUUUCUGAAGAUACUGCCCCGGUAACGGGGAGGAAGGAGGGGAUGAUGUCAGGUCAGUAUUUCCCUUACGCCUUGGGCUAGAAUCGCGCUACAAUGGCCUGUACAAUGCGAAGCGAAGCAGCAAUGUGAAGCAAAUCGCACCAAAGCUGGUCCCAGUUCGGACUGGAGGCUG